GACGAACCGUGCUAACGUUGUUCGGAAUCACUGGGCUUAAAGGGCGCGUAGGCGGGCCGCCAAGUCUGGGGUGAAAUCCCACGGCUUAACCGUGGAAGUGCCCCGGAUACUGGCGGCCUCGAGGGAGGUAGGGGCGUGCGGAACUUCCGGUGGAGCGGUGAAAUGCGUAGAGAUCGGAAGGAACGCCGGUGGCGAAAGCGGCACGCUGGACCUCUUCUGACGCUGAGGCGCGAAAGCCAGGGGAGCAAACGGG
rnacentral:rRNA from 1 species